CUCGAGGCCAGAUCUUUCCGGUUGAUCCUGCCGGACCUGACUGCUAUCGGAUUGAUACUAAGCCAUGCGAGUCAUUGUAGCAAUACAAGGCAGACGGCUCAGUAACACGUAGUCAAUCUACCCUAUGGACGGGGAUAACCUCGGGAAACUGAGAAUAAUACCCGAUAGAUCAUUAUGCCUGGAAUGGUUUAUGGUCCAAAUGAUUAUCGCCAUAGGAUGGGGCUGCGGUCUAUCAGCUUGUUGGUGAGGUAAUGGCCCACCAUGGCUAUAACAGAUACGGGCUCUGAGAGGAGAAGCCCGGAGAUGGGUACUGAGACACGGACCCAGGCCCUAUGGGGCGCAGCAGGCGAGAAAACUUUGCAAUGUGCGAAAGCACGACAAGGUUAAUCCGAGUGGUUCCUGCUAAAGGAAUCUUUUGUCAGUCCUAAAAACACUGACGAAUAAGGGGUGGGCAAGUUCUGGUGUCAGCCGCCGCGGUAAAACCAGCACCUCAAGUGGUCAGGAGGAUUAUUGGGCCUAAAGCAUCCGUAGCCGGCCGUGUAAGUUUUCGGUUAAA
rnacentral:rRNA from 1 species